UACGGAGGGUGCAAGCGUUAUCCGGAUUCACUGGGCUUAAAGGGUGCGUAGGUGGGCAAGUAAGUCAGUGGUGAAAUCUCCGGGCUUAACCCGGAAACUGCCAUUGAUACUAUUUGUCUUGAAUACUGUGGAGGUCAGCGGAAUAUGUCAUGUAGCGGUGAAAUGCGUAGAUAUGACAUAGAACACCAGUUGCGAAGGCGGUCGUCUGGACACAUAUUGACGCUGAGGCUCGAAAGCAUGGGGAGCAAACAGG
rnacentral:rRNA from 1 species